CUGCAACAAGCGGCAUAGAGACGUUCCGAAUCAUUGAAAACUUGUGUACCGUUAACAUUGGACAACUGAGACCUGAGUGCACUCACUUCUGCUUAAGGAACACGGCGAUCAACUGGCAUGGCUUUCUUUACUUACUGGAUAGGAGAGCUGUGGAAAAAGGUGGCAGAGGUGGAGCGAGGCAGACG